GAAGGGGGGCAACCCCCAAGUAGAGCGGCAGACGGGUGAGUAACGCAUGGGUAAUCUACCUUCGAGUGGGGAAUAACACCGGGAAACUGGUGCUAAUACCGCAUGACGUCUUCGGGCCCUCGGGUCUGGAGACCAAAGCUGGGGACCGCAAGGCCUGGCGCUUGAAGAUGAGCCCGUGUCCGAUUAGCUAGUUGGUGGGGUAACGGCCCACCAAGGCAACGAUCGGUAGCCGGCCUGAGAGGGCGGACGGCCACACUGGGACUGAGACACGGCCCAGACUCCUACGGGAGGCAGCAGUGGGGAAUUUUUCGCAAUGGGCGAAAGCCUGACGAAGCAACGCCGCGUGGGGGAUGAAGGCCUUCGGGUCGUAAACCCCUGUCGACCGGGACGAAACCGGUCCGACCUAAUACGUCGGGCCGUUGACUGUACCGGUGGAGGAAGCCACGGCUAACUCUGUGCCAGCAGCCGCGGUAAUACAGAGGUGGCAAGCGUUGUUCGGAAUUACUGGGCGUAAAGGGCGCGUAGGCGGUUCGUUAAGUCCCGCGUGAAAUCCCCCGGCUCAACCGGGGAAUUGCGCGGGAAACUGGCGGGCUUGAGUUCGGGAGAGGGAAGCGGAAUUCCGGGUGUAGCGGUGAAAUGCGUAGAUAUCCGGAGGAACACCGGUGGCGAAGGCGGCUUCCUGGACCGACACUGACGCUGAGGCGCGAAAGCUAGGGGAGCAAACGGGAUUAGAUACCCCGGUAGUCCUAGCCCUAAACGAUGAGCGCUGGGUGGUAGGGGGGGGUGUUAACCCCCCCCUGG
rnacentral:rRNA from 1 species